CUAAGGAUGCGUCUCCAGUGAAGUUCUCACGAGGUUCAUUAUUGACGCUCCAAUAAACUGCGGGAUGCCGCCGUCUCCGUUUCUCUUUCCUAUUUCGCACUUCGAUGUGCCGGGCAUUUGGUCCGGCUCAGCGAGGUGUGCGAUCGCGAGCCUGGAUUUCUGAUCCGGCUGUCGUGCGGCCAUAGGCCCGUAGCUCAGCCUGGUUAGAGCGCACGCCUGAUAAGCGUGAGGUCGGCAGUUCGAGUCUGCCCGGGCCUACCAGCUCAGGCUGGACUGAAGCCUACGACACGCGCCGACAGCUCUCCUGGGCUUCGCACUGUUCCUUGGAACGGGGCCAUAGCUCAGUUGGUAGAGCGCCUGCUUUGCAAGCAGGAUGUCGUCGGUUCGACUCCGUCUGGCUCCACCAGGAACGCUCAAAGUUAGGUAACCGCCUUAGCGGACCGCUUGAGCCCGUGAUCGCAUCAAGAGAUUGCCCCCAAUCGUCUGGUUGGACGGCAUUGAUAUUGUGAAGGAAGAAUUGAUCCGGCCCCUCAUAGGCUUUCAGGAUCUGUUCGAGAGAAGACAUUGUCUGACAAAAAUCAGGCAGGGACCCGCCGGCAUUUCUUUCCAGUCGGCUGGAUCAUCCCUGCAUGAGUUUUGCUGAGAAAC
rnacentral:tRNA from 1 species